UACGUAGGGUGCGAGCGUUAAUCGGAAUUACUGGGCGUAAAGUGUGCGCAGGCGGCGUCGCAUGUCGAGUGUGAAAGCCCCGGGCUCAACCUGGGAAUUGCGCUCGAAACUACGGCGCUUGAGUGCGGCAGAGGAAGGUGGAAUUCCGCGUGUAGCGGUGAAAUGCGUAGAUAUGCGGAGGAACACCGAUGGCGAAGGCAGCCUUCUGGGCCGACACUGACGCUCAUGCACGAAAGCGUGGGGAGCAAACAGG
rnacentral:rRNA from 1 species